AUGCACUCAGAGGCUAUGGUCUCGAUGCCUCCCCCCGGUGGCUGCUCCUUGACUUCUGAUGUGCAAUUCCUUGCACAUCCGACUCAAAGCUCGGGGGAGCAAAUUGCUUUCAACAUGGAGCGCAUGAUGGGAGGUCCGGACGAUCCUGCCAUUCUGAUUGAGUCUCAGGUUGAGGUGAGUAGUGAUGUUGGCAGGGUGACUCAGGUUGAUGUCCCAUUAUCCUUGGAGGAAUUCCUUAGUAAGGUUACUCGCAUGGUCUCACCCCCUCUGCUUGAGACCCCAAAGCCUUUGCACAAUGAGAAGGAUGAUGCCUCUCGCCUCAAGCGGCGUAGCGGACGUUUGGAAAAGAAAAACAUGGCGUGUAACAUCCCGACGACCAAAACGCGCGGAGUAUAG
rnacentral:rRNA from 1 species